AGCUAGUUGGUGAGGUAACGGCUCACCAAGGCAACGAUGGGUAGCCGACCUGAGAGGGUGAUCGGCCACACUGGGAUUGAGACACGGCCCAGACUCCUACGGGAGGCAGCAGUAGGGAAUCUUCCGCAAUGGACGAAAGUCUGAUGGAGCAACGCCGCGUGAGUGAAGAAGGUUUUCGGUUNGUAAANNUCUGUUGUNAGGGAAGAACAAGUACNGNAGUANCUGNCNGUACCUUGACGGUACCUNACCAGAAAGCCACGGCUAACUACGUGCCAGCAGCCGCGGUAAUACGUAGGUGGCNAGCGUUGUCCGGAAUUAUUGGGCGUAAAGCGCGCGCAGGCGGUUUCUUAAGUCUGAUGUGAAAGCCCACGGCUCAACCGUGGAGGGUCAUUGGAAACUGGGAGCCUUGAGUGCAGAAGAGGAGAGYGGAAUUCCANGUGUAGCGGUGAAAUGCGUAGAGAUGUGGAGGAACACCAGUGGCGAAGGCGCCUCUCUGGUCUGUAACUGACGCUGAGGCGCGAAAGCGUGGGGAGCCAACAGGAUUAGAUACCCUGGUAGUCCACGCCGUAAACGAUGAGUGCUAAGUGUUCGGGGGUUUCCGCCCCUCAGUGCUGCAGCUAACGCAUUAAAGCACUCCGCCUGGGGAGUACGGYCGCAAGGCUGAAACUCAAAGGAAUUGACGGGGGCCCGCACAAGCGGUGGAGCAUGUGGUUUAAUUCGAAGCAACGCGAAGAACCUUACCAGGUCUUGACAUCCCGUUGACCGCUGUGAAGAUAGGGUUUCCCCUUCGGGGACAACGGUGACAGGUGGUGCAUGGUUGUCGUCAGCUCGUGUCGUGAGAUGUUGGGUUAAGUCCCGCAACGAGCGCAACCCUUGAUCUUAGUUGCCAUCAUUCAGUUGGGCACUCUAAGGUGACUGCCGGUGACAAACCGGAGGAAGGUGGGGAUGACNUCAAAUCAUCANGCCCCUUAUGACCUGGGCUACACACGUGCUACAAUGGACGAUACAAA
rnacentral:rRNA from 1 species